GGGUGGCUGGUGUAGUUGGUUAUCACGCCCGCUUAGCAUGCGGGAGGGGAGGAGUUCAAUUCUCCUGUUGUCCA
rnacentral:tRNA from 1 species